AUGGAUUGGUGCCUUCGGGAACUGUGAGACAGGUGCUGCAUGGCUGUCGUCAGCUCGUGUUGUGAAAUGUUGGGUUAAGUCCCGCAACGAGCGCAACCCUUAUCCUUUGUUGCCAGCGGUCCGGCCGGGAACUCAAAGGAGACUGCCAGUGAUAAACUGGAGGAAGGUGGGGAUGACGUCAAGUCAUCAUGGCCCUUACGACCAGGGCUACACACGUGCUACAAUGGCGCAUACAAAGAGAAGCGACCUCGCGAGAGCAAGCGGACCUCAUAAAGUGCGUCGUAGUCCGGAUUGGAGUCUGCAACUCGACUCCAUGAAGUCGGAAUCGCUAGUAAUCGUGGAUCAGAAUGCCACGGUGAAUACGUUCCCGGGCCUUGUACACACCGCCCGUCACACCAUGGGAGUGGGUUGCAAAAGAAGUAGGUAGCUUAACCUUCGGGAGGGCGCUUACCACUUUGUGAUUCAUGACUGGGGUGAAGUCGUAACAAGGUAACCGUAGGGGAACCUGCGGUUGGAUCACCUCCUUACCUGAAAGAA
rnacentral:rRNA from 1 species